AAUGAAGGCAUUUGUUAAUCACCAAAACGAAGAAGUAUUAAUUUAUACUCCUUCAGCUAUUGGCCAGUUUCACUCUUGUACAUGUACACGUACACAGUAACAUGACCUUCACCCAAGUUCAACGUCUGGAAUAGAAUGAUAUUUUCAAAUUCCCCGAAAAUACUUGAGCAGAGCAAGCACCCGUGCUCUUGCACGGGCUAGCAAAGUAUCAGAAAUUCAUAAAAACAAUUAGGAGUCAUAACUAAUAAUCAAAAUUGCUUACCUUGCACAUCCUUUCUCGUUUGUUAAAUAUUCUAACACAAUACUGGUAUAAAGCUCCAGUUGUGAUAGACUUUAGUUAGAAAUGGCAUGAGGGGGCAAUUUAGAUGGAGAUUAGAGGACUGGCUCCGCGUCCGUCCUCCCCUGCCCUUCGCAGCCGACGCGUGGCACCGCGGCCAGAUCUCCGUUGCACUCGCGGGCCUCCGGCCUCCCCAGCCCGUCGCUCUCUCGAAGCCACCCGCUCGGUACCAGUACCACACGCUUCGCGCUACCCCGCUCUCCGCCAAGCCCACCGCCCGCACUGCUGUCGGCGCCGGAUCCAUCUUCGGCGUCAACUUCGCUGCUUUCUUCGACGACACCGGCAAUGCCUCCACCGUGCAGUUGCUGCUCCCCCACCGCGAGGCGUUCGCGGCGCCCAACGCCACCAUGCCCCAGCUGCUCGCGCACCGCCUGGCGCGCGACGCCGCGCGUGCCGAGGCGAUUUCGGCCGCGGGCCCGGGCCACGGCGAACGGGACGCGCGGGCCGCAGCGCAGUGGCGAGUACUUCGCGCAUGGCGGCGUGGGCACGCCGCCCACGCCGGCGCUCCUGGUGCUCAGCACCGGCAGCAACGUUGUCUGGCUGUAGUGCGCGCCCUGCCGCCACUGCUACGCGCAGUCGGGCAGGGUCUUCGACCCGCGACGCUCCCGCUCCUACGCUGCCGUCCCCUGCGCCACGCCGCUCUGCCGCCGCCUCGACACUGGCGGCCGCGACAAGCGCCGCGGGUCAUGCCUCUGCCAGGUGGCCUAUGAUGACGGGUCAAUCACCACGGGGGACCUGGCCACCGAGACGCUCUCCUUCGCCCCGCGGCGCGCGGGUGCCGCGCGUUGCCGCGGAGAGGCUCCCGGGCCUCGGGCGCGGCAGGCUGUCGCUGCCCACCUAGGUCUCCCGCCGCUACGGGCGUAGCUUCUCCUACUGCCUCGUGGACUGCACCUCGUCGGUGAAGCCAUCGUCCACCCGCUCGUCCACCUUGACCUUCAGGCCUGCUGCUCGCCACGUGCUCGCUGAAAUGCCCUCAAGGUAAGGAAGAGGUUCAGGAAAUAGAUGGUGCGUGCAGAGAUGCAGAUGCUGCUCUUGGAGUCCAGGGAUGAGGCGGGGGUCUAUCGUCGCGGAGGGAGCUGAUCUUGACGGCGAUUUCAGGACCAGCAUCCAAGGGAGUCCUGACUCCCGAGAGCUUGCUCCAGUUCUGCUUGGAGAGCGAGAAAUGGUGUACUGUUCACCCUUAGUAGGUGAUCCUCAGGUCCAGAGUCCAGACUAUGGAAGUAGUUGAUGCAGUGUUCAUUAACACUGGAGGUAAUUUCAAGAUUCUAAAGGAAUCUAUCAAUACCAUACUCUUGAAUCUUCACGUAACCACAAUAUUUUUGAGCAUCAAUAAAGCAUGCUACCCUGGUGGUAUCUUGUUCCAUGACAAUUAUUUUUUUGAAUGUUUGAGCCUUUCAUCCUUUUUUGUCGUGAUUUACCUGAUCUAUCAAAUGAUUUAGUGAUGCUGAUGCACCCUAAUUAGAUGUAAAGGAGACUGUUCAAUAAUCAGUUGCUUCAAGCCAGAUAAAACUGAUUAUGUGUUGUAUUUUCUACAAGUCUGUUUGCUCCUCUAGCUGCAGGGAGUGAGAGUCAUUAUACUUCUUGAACCGAAGCUAGCUUACUAUAAGGAGGAGCACAUCAUGGUUUGUAGCCGUACGUGGUUCAGGAGAAUCUAUCGUACUCAGUAGUGCUUAGCUUAGUAUUGAUGCCGCGCACGCUUGAGAAGAGGGAAAACGAUGAACGGAAAAGAGGAAGAUUGGCCAUCAGUUUUUCGGAUGGAAUUUAUUGGUAGUCCUGGGUUAGCUAUUUCUCAAUUUGGCCUGGUGUGGGAGUAAGAAUACAAGGGGGGAGGGCACAUGGCCAUCAGCAAUAAGGUAUUGUCUUCUUACCAUAUUUCUUUAAAAUUAUUUUAUUUUGUUAAAAAAUUGUGUGCCCGUAGCAACGCACCUGUCUUUACCUAGUAAUAGUAAGAUAAAUAUAGUCAGCACCUUAUAAACUGCACCAAAUCCUCCUUCACCGAGUUUCUUGCCUUCAUCGAAGUUUUCUGUUGUGGCUCGUAGAGUUGG